rnacentral:rRNA from 1 species
GACAGAGGUGCCAAGCGUUAGGCGGAAUCACUGGGCUUAAAGCGUGUGUAGGCGGAAUGGUAAGUACCUUGUGAAAUCCCACAGCUCAACUGUGGAACUGCUUGGUAUACUGCUUUUCUUGAGCCACUUAGGGGCUACCGGAACAAAUGGUGGAGCGGUGAAAUGCGUAGAUAUCAUUUGGAACGCCAAUGGUGAAAACAGGUAGCUGGGAGUGUGCUGACGCUGAGACACGAAAGCCAGGGGAGCGAACGGG